UACGUAGGGGGGCAAGCGUUGUCCGGAAUUAUUGGGCGUAAAGAGCGCGUAGGCGGUCCGAUAAGUCGUCUGUGAAAGUCAGGGGCUCAACCCUUGAAAGCCGGACGAUACUGUCGGACUAGAGUCCGGAAGAGGCAAGUGGAAUUCCCGGUGUAGCGGUGAAAUGCGCAGAUAGUCGGGAGGAACACCAAUGGCGAAGGCGAGCUU
rnacentral:rRNA from 1 species